UAAACGAAAGCCAACAAGGCACCUAUCUGUUAAGUAGGCCACAGUUUAAUACAACUCGUUUAA
rnacentral:tRNA from 1 species